GAUGUCUACAUGCAAGAAAAGAGGAAGAAAUCCAAUAGAGGAGAGCUGCGUUCUUUAUUCGGUGGCGCCAUCCUUCCUGGAUUGAGGGUGCACCCUCAGCUCCUGAAGGUCCUGUUUCCUAACCCUCAGCUCUGUGGCAGACUUGACAACUCCAUUUUAAAAUGUCACUGCAAAAAUGUCAAGGCAAUCCUAGCUAAGCCCACGCAAAGAAUAAAUGAAGACUCACCUCCCGAUGCCCACUUGUAUCCUGUCUGUUGAACCACCCAUUCACUCUUAAAAGUACCUCAGUUCAGAAGAUACAUCGUUGAGUCACGUUGCAUCUAAGGAGCACAAGCUUCAGUUCCCGGCUUUCCAUGUUCUACAAUACAUUGCUUUAAGGAACUUCAAUCUCUGCUCGUACCUCCCUCCUGGCAACAGCAUGACCGACCACACACUGGAGGUUUUCUUAUUUCUGUACUUCGGCUCACGGAGUUAUCUUUAACUAUCAUCUGCUGUUCUUACUUCCUCAUUUUAAUGUGUGUGUGCUUUCUUUUUAAUUUUAGCAUAAUCUUAGACGUAGGAAAGUUGCAAGUUGAGCAUAAUAGCUCAUGCCCGAAAUCCCAGAACUCGGGAGGUGGGGCAAGAUUGCUGUGAAUUUGAGACCAACUUGACCUACAUAGAAAGCUAGAGACCAGAAUAAGCUAUAGAGUGAGGCUUUGCAAUCAAUUAGCAGACAGACAGACAGACAGAUGGACGGAUGGACUGACUGAUUGACUGACCAGGGGCAGGGAGAAGGUUUCGUAAGUAAAGGCAUUUGCCCUCAAGCCUGGCAAUGUAAGUUCAAUCCCCAGUUUUCACCUGGUGCAAGAAGAGAAGUGACAGGGGUUGGGGAUUUAGCUCAGUGGUAGAGGGCUUGCCUAGGAAGCGCAAGGCCCUGGGUUUGGUCCUCAGUUCCGAAUUGAAAAAACAACAAAACAAAAAACAAAACAAAACAAAACAAAAAAAAAACCAAGAAGAGAAGUGACUCCAUGCCUUCUGAACUCUACGUGUUUGCACGAUGCACACAUGCUCAAUAAAUACAUGAUCUAGAAAGAUGUUUGGAAGACUUCCCAAAGAUCCUGCAGAAUUUGUAUAUGAAGCUCAUUCAGGUGCUUAAGGUAACAACUUGUAUGACAUUUGUUGAACAUAAGCAGUGAAUCUCUGUACUGUAGCAUCAAUUAAACUGCUGGCUGCAGAUAAACAGUUAUGCUAAUGGCUGUUUCUUCUGGGAACCAACCCCAGGAAUCCAAACUGUGUUUUGACAGCGUUUCCUUUGUCGUCUCCUCCUAUCUGUGACUAUCUCUGUUUUCUGUUGCAUGGCCUUGAUACUUUUUAAGUCAUGAGUUCUGCAUAAUACACACCUCACUGAUGAGCUAUGCAGAUGGGCAGGAUCAGAGGCGUCUGGAAAGCAAGCCACAGAGGAAGUGGCCUUCUCUUCAUGGUAUGUCACCUCAGGUGGGACAGGACAUGGGCACGGCCCAUUGUUGGCGACGGCGGCUUCAGUCUCUAGGCUGAGGUGCUGUCUGAGUCCCCCCAAGGGCAAAAGACCAGUUUCAUUUCCAUAUAACACUAUAGCAGGAUCCCAUGCCUUCUUUACAUUCAAGAAGAAUAGAUUUGAACUCCAGAUUUAAAAAGAAAGCUCAUUAAGCUUAUGGCCUGGGUAUAUAGAUGAAAUCUCAGUACCUGGGAGGCAGGAGAAUUACUGUGAGUUUGACACCAGCCUGGAGUACAUAGUUAAACAAUGUCUCAAACACCACUGCAAACAAGAGUAACAAAGUUUAUGGGACUAUUCUGAAACUGCAACAUUAGGUAAUUAAUCUUUGGGGAGAAAUACUUUGAGACAUGCACAUAUUUUAGAUUUCCUUAACUUUUUGUAAAUCAAUUAAAAUUUGUCAGUGAAUUUUGAGCAACA
rnacentral:sRNA from 1 species